rnacentral:lncRNA from 1 species
AUCCAUAAAAAGAAGAGAAACUUGUAUUUAAAAAAAAAAAGACUGUAAUUUAAAUAUCCUUUUGGAAAAGAGUGUAAUUUAUCCUACAUUACAUCUCUGAUAAGGAACAAUGCAUUCAUUUCAUGCUCCCUCGCUCAUAAAAUUAUCUACCAAAGGUCUUAAAACACACACAAUAACAAGAUUUACAAAUCAUUCUUAGACCUAAAACACUGCAGCACCAUUUUUGUUGUUGAUGAUCCUAAGAGUUAGUUGUGUAUGGGAGGGUUCUUCUUAGCGGGAGAAUAGUCCAUGCCAGCAAUGUCGACAAGGUCCAGAUAGUUCUCAUGAGAAACCUCCUGCUGUUUAUUUACANNN